GACGAACGCUGGCGGCGUGCUUAACACAUGCAAGUCGAACGGAAAGGCCCUGCUUUUGUGGGGUGCUCGAGUGGCGAACGGGUGAGUAGCACGUGAGUAACCUGCCCUUGACUUUGGGAUAACUUCAGGAAACUGGGGCUAAUACCGGAUAGGAGCUCCUGCUGCAUGGUGGGGGUUGGAAAGUUUCGGCGGUUGGGGAUGGACUCGCGGCUUAUCAGCUUGUUGGUGGGGGAGUGGCUUACCAAGGCUUGGACGGGUAGCCGGCCUGAGAGGGUGACCGGCCACAUUGGGACUGCGAUACGGCCCAGACUCCUACGAGAGGCAGCAGUGGGGAAUAUUGCACAAUGGGCGGAAGCCUGAUGCAGCAACGCCGCGUGCGGGAUGACGUCCUUCGGGUUGUAAACCGCUUUCGCCUUUGACGAAGCGUUAGUGACGGUAAUGGGUAAAGAAGCACCGGCUAACUACGUG
rnacentral:rRNA from 1 species